UCCGGUGGCGAUAGCGGAGGGGAAACACCCGUUCCCAUUCCGAACACGGAAGUUAAGCCCUCCAGCGCCGAUGGUACUGCACUCGCGGGAGAGUAGGUCGCUGCCGG
rnacentral:rRNA from 1 species